rnacentral:rRNA from 1 species
UUUUUAUGGAGAGUUUGAUCCUGGCUCAGGAUGAACGCUGGCGGCGUGCCUAAUACAUGCAAGUCGAGCGAACAGACGAGGAGCUUGCUCCUCUGACGUUAGCGGCGGACGGGUGAGUAACACGUGGAUAACCUACCUAUAAGACUGGGAUAACUUCGGGAAACCGGAGCUAAUACCGGAUAAUAUA